UACGUAGGGUGCAAGCGUUAAUCGGAAUUACUGGGCGUAAAGCGUGCGCAGGCGGUUUGUAAGUUUGUCGUGAAAUCCCCGGGCUUAACCUGGGAACUGCGCUUGUUACUGGCAGACUGGAGUGUGGCAGAGGGGGGUGGAAUUCCAGGUGUAGCAGUGAAAUGCGCAGAUAUCAGGAGGAACACCGGUGGCGAAGGCGGGUCUCUGGGCCGAUACUGACGCUGAGGAGCGAAAGCGUGGGGAGCGAACAGG
rnacentral:rRNA from 1 species